rnacentral:rRNA from 1 species
UUGAUCAUGGCUCAGAUUGAACGCUGGCGGCAGGCCUAACACAUGCAAGUCGAACGGAAACAUGUCUAGCUUGCUAGAUGAUGUCGAGUGGCGGACGGGUGAGUAAUACUUAGGAACAUGCCUUUGGGUGGGGGAUAACUAUUGGAAACGAUAGCUAAUACCGCAUAACGUCUACGGACCAAAGGGGGCUUCGGCUCCCGCCCAGAGAGUGGCCUAAGCGAGAUUAGCUUGUUGGUGAGGUAAAGGCUCACCAAGGCGACGAUCUCUAGCUGUUCUGAGAGGAAGAUCAGCCACACUGGAACUGAGACACGGUCCAGACUCCUACGGGAGGCAGCAGUGGGGAAUAUUGCACAAU